rnacentral:rRNA from 1 species
GAGAGUAACUGCUCGUACCUUGACGGUACCUAACCAGAAAGCCACGGCUAACUACCUGCCAGCAGCCGCGGUAAUACGUAGGUGGCAAGCGUUAUCCGGAAUUAUUGGGCGUAAAGCGCGCGCAGGCGGUUUCUUAAGUCUGAUGUGAAAGCCCACCGCUCAACCAUGGAGG